AGGUAAAAGUACAGAGCAAGGUGGCAGAAUGGCUCAAUUCAACCUUCCAAAAUUGGAACUACACGGUUUAUGUCGUUAAUAUCAGUUUUCACCUGAGUGCUGGAGAGGACAAGAUUAAAGUCAAGAGAAGCCUUGAGGAUGAGCCAAGGUUGGUGCUUUGGGCCCUUCUAGUUUACAAUGCUACCAACAAUACUAAUUUGGAAGGAAAAAUCAUUCAGCAGAAGCUCCUAAAAAAUAAUGAGUCCUUGGAUGAAGGCUUGAGGCUACAUACAGUGAAUGUGAGACAACUGGGUCAUUGUCUUGCCAUGGAGGAACCCAAAGGCUACUACUGGCCAUCUAUCCAACCUUCUGAAUACGUUCUUCCUUGUCCAGACAAGCCUGGCUUUUCUGCUUCUCGGAUAUGGUAAUAUUUUCACUGACUCUUGCCAGCAAAGCUACAUGUUAUCAGCCUUCCCAGGGUUAUACGUGCAGCACGGUAGUUCUUAGGCAUUAUAUUGAUUGCAAAGAAGGGCAGGAAUCUCUGUGUAUGCCUGUAUCAUUCACUCCUGGGGAAUAAAGAUAACAUAAGUGGAUGACUCAGAAA
rnacentral:lncRNA from 1 species